GGAAGUAGAGGGGGAGGAGGGGAGGGGGAGAGGGAGACAGAGAGAGAGAGUGGGUGUGUUCAGGGAACCUUCUAGAUGGCCUGAUGUCUUAGUUUAUGAACUGUCGCUGCUCCACCAGCAGACAUCUUGACAAUGUCACGUCUCAGUUCUCUGAGCCUCAAAUUUCCUGUGUGAAAAGUGGGUUCCAGGAGGUUCUGUAGGAAAGACAGGUGGAGUGAUUGACACAUAAUAGUUGGUACAUUAGUGAGGUCACCUGGCGACCCUUCCUUCCCAGGAAUGAGGCUUGGGACUGACCCCUGGGGAGGGCUGUGACACCCAGGCUCAGAGAUCCUCAUUUCUAGAUGAGAGCUGGUCACACGCAAGGGGAUUUCCAUGGGACUUCUUGGUUCAUCCAGGGUGAUCCACAUACUCGUGGGGGUUGGAUUAGUGGGUAAAAAUGCUAGCCACGCAAACGUGGUAACCUGAGUUUAUUUCUCAGACCCUCCCCCUCCCACCACCACCACCAAAAAAAAAAAAAGCCAGUCUUGGAGGUACUCAUCUGUAAUCCUGGCACUCUUCUAGCGAAUGGGGGAUGGAGACAGGAGAACUGGUCAAAAGCUUGCCUGCCAGAGAACUGGGCAACAGAAGAGAGAUCCUGCCUCAGUAUGGUGGAGCCCUCGCCAUAGCCAGAAGCAGGAAGGUGGUCAUUGCUGGGAUCUUCUUGCUCAUUCGAAGCCCCUGUCCAGCCCCUGCUGUCCCUCCGGCUCUGACCUUGACAGUCACACAUCCAG
rnacentral:lncRNA from 1 species